UACGUAGGGUGCGAGCGUUAAUCGGAUUUACUGGGCGUAAAGGGCGCGUAGGCGGUUUGGCAAGUCAGGUGUGAAAUCCUUCCGCUCAACGGAAGAAGUGCACUUGAAACUGCCAAGCUAGAGUAUGGGAGAGGAGAGCGGAAUUCCCGGUGUAGAGGUGAAAUUCGUAGAUAUCGGGAGGAACACCGAUGGCGAAGGCGGCCACCUGGUCAGAAACUGACGCUGAGGUACGAAAGCGUGGGGAGCAAACAGG
rnacentral:rRNA from 1 species